UACGUAGGGUGCAGGCGUUAAUCGGAAUUACUGGGCGUAAAGCGUGCGCAGGCGGUUGUGCAAGACAGAUGUGAAAUCCCCGGGCUCAACCUGGGAAUUGCAUUUGUGACUGCACGGCUAGAGUGUGUCAGAGGGGGGUAGAAUUCCACGUGUAGCAGUGAAAUGCGUAGAGAUGUGGAGGAAUACCGAGUGGCGAAGGCAGCCCCCUGGGCCUAACACUGACGCUGCAUGCACGGAAAGCGUGGGGAGCAAACAGG
rnacentral:rRNA from 1 species